rnacentral:misc_RNA from 1 species
AACCUUAUGGACCUGCGGGCGUAUACCUGCGGAGGGAUCAUUACUGUGCCUUCGGGGGCAAGCUUUCCCUCUGGACAGCUGGAACGGCGCCUUGGCGGCCCGUUCGGGCUGGCGGCGGCGGGUUGGGGAGCCCAGUGGGCUCCCGAGCCGGCACGUCGAUCGAGCUUGCCCUGUCUGAACACCUCCCUUGCUUUUUGCGUACCCCCCGUUUCCUCGGCAGGCUGGCCUGUCCGCAGGACC